UAGGUACCGUAACAGCAUUUUGAUGAAGAAAUAAUAUGAAUAAGGUUCAGUAUUUGUUAAAGACAAACAUUAUUAAUAUUAAGGAUAGGUGUAAAAUAAAACAUGAUGGUAGAUUAACUCCCAAAGUAAAAAUCAAACAAGAAAAAUAUGAACAGG